ensembl:lncRNA
GGGCGGAGGCACCGAAGCACCGCCCCGGGGGCAGGCGGAGGGUGAGCUCCCUCCGCUGCCCAGCGCUCUGAGCCAACGCUGUAAGAAACAAGCCCCGCGGGGCCGUGCGACCGAGCCCCACUGCUGUGCCCGAUGAACGCCGAGUCCGGGGCGCUGUCCCCACUCCGGAGGCAUCGGGACCCGGGGGCGUGGCCUUGGCGAUGCCCCGCCCUGCAGCACCGCCUGCUCCUGGUCACGUGAGCGCGCUCGGCACGUGCCGGGAUUCCCCACCCGCCCUGCGGCACGUGACCAGCCCUGAGGUGCCGCCAUCACGGGAAGGGCUCCGCCAUCUUGAGAAGGUCGGCGGCAGAAACCCUCCUCGUGAGACCCCAUCCUGAACCCCCAUCUCGAGACCCCAUCGUGAGAUCCUAUCCUGAACCCCAUCGUGAGACCCCAUUGUGAAACCUCAUCAUAAGACCCCAUCCUGAACUCCAUCAUGAGACCUCAUGCUGAGACCCCCAUCGUGAAACCACUAGCCCCCGUGUACCCGAGGGAAGCUGACGAGAUGUGGCUCCACCUAGCAACUGUGGGCUCUGGCACUGCUGAUGAAUCUCUCCCAGGAAAGCAAACUGAUGGGGAAUGCAAUUGUCAAUGAAUGUAAUAUCCCUGUCCGGCCUGCAAUUGAAUUUUAAUUAGGUUUUGAGCUGCACUUAAUAGUUCCAUGAUGUCAGUUUUCAUCCACAUUACAAGCUGCUUCUAUGGCCACCCAGAGCAGUGACAGAGCUCCACCUGAGAACCCUGCCCAGCCACACAGAUCUAAGGCUUCUUCAGGCUGCCAGUCCCAAGCCUGGAUCAGAGCGCUGAGAUCUCCUGUCUGCACUGCUGGGAGAACUGAACAGCCUGUGUCAAGCGAUAGGAAUCUCCUCGUUGAGGCUGCAGGUAUGUCGUCCAGCCCAGCUUAUGGCAUGUACUGCUAAAUCUUACUACUUUGGAUGUUCUCCUUCUAUUUCUCAGCAUUAAAUGAACCCUGUCUUGCAUUGCCAAUACUACACACUCCUCUAAUAAUAGUUAUAUAUUCUUUCUCCCCACUGCCCCAGAAAUAGGUGGAGGGAAUCACAGGCUGUAGUUUUGCUUGCAUUUUCCUUAGCAAAUGUGGAUUUUUUUUCCUUCAGGAUGAGUUAUUUUUAACCUGGCUCAAUUCCCAAAUUAGAUACACUGCCUGGCAGCAAGAGCAAUUGUACCUGCGCACUAGGGAGGAGCUUGGGAGCCCAUGGAGCAGCUACAGGAGCAGGGCUGGGGCCAGAACUACUGCUGCAUGAGGGGCUGUUGAAAUACAGCCUUGUCUUCUGAUUUUCACAAGCACUCACAAAGAUGUGUAAGAAAUUGUUACAAGGCACACAUGGAGGCUGCUUAGAAAAACUGCCAGUCUUGGGAAUAUACACAAUUUCCCAAGGUUUGUCCUCAGCCUACCUCAUGCAGACAGCCAUUAGGAAAGGGUGGCUGAAUUCACUCUCUGCCACUUAAGUCACCUUUUUCUUCUCUGCCAAAGGCAGAAAGCACAGGUGUAACAGCACAGACAGGGCAGUGCAAAGUGCCAGAAAAGGCUCCAGAACACACAGUCCCUGGUAUCCCGUUGGUGAAUCCUGAAGAGAAAGACCUGAUCCUGUGGUGAGGGCAGCUUGUCCCUCAGCAAAAAGAAAAUGGCAAAGGCAAGCCACCAGUUCCCCAGGAGCUGUCCUGCUCAGCUUGUUCUCUCUUGGGUCAGAGAGAGCUGUCAGGUACCUUGUGGGUACAGUGUGGGCCCCUAAAUAAAGCCUUGGCCCCUAAACA